rnacentral:rRNA from 1 species
ACGGAAGGCAGCAGUGGGGGAUAUUGCACAAUGGGGGGAACCCUGAUGCAGCAACGCCACGUGUGGGAAGAAGCAUUUCGGUGUGUAAACCACUGUCGUGAGGGAAUAAUGCUUGGCUCCGGCCAAGUUGAAUGUACCUCGAAAGGAAGCACCGGCAAACUUCGUGCCAGCAGCCGCGGUAAUACGAGGGGUGCAAGCGUUGUUCGGAAUCACUGGGCGUAAAGGGAGCGUAGGCGGAGACGCAAGCAGUCUGUACAAUACCGGGGCCCAACCCCGGACCUGCAGACUGGACUGUGUCUCUUGGAUAGUUCAGGGGCAGGCGGAAUUCCUGGUGUAGCGGUGGAAUGCGUAGAGAUCAGGAAGAACACCGAUGGCGAAGGCAGCUUGCUGGGGACUUAUCGACGCUCAUGCUCGAAAGUGCGGGUAGCAAACAGGAUUAGAUACCCUGGUA